GCCUCCGUGGUGUAAUGGUCAGCACACUGAGCCGGUAUUUCAGAGGUCCGCGGUUCGAUCCCCGGCGAAGGCA
rnacentral:tRNA from 1 species